rnacentral:rRNA from 1 species
CGAAGGGGGCUAGCGUUGUUCGGAAUUACUGGGCGUAAAGCGCGCGCAGGCGGUCUUCCAAGUCAGCGGUGAAAGCCCGGAGCUCAACUCCGGAACUGCCAUUGAAACUGUAAGACUUGAGGAUGAGAGAGGUGAGUGGAAUUCCCAGUGUAGAGGUGAAAUUCGUAGAUAUUGGGAAGAACACCGGUGGCGAAGGCGGCUCACUGGCUCAUUUCUGACGCUCAGGCGCGACAGCGUGGGGAUCAAACAGGAUUAGAUACCCUGGUAGUCCACGCCGUAAACGAUGAAUGCUAGCCGUUGGGCAGCUUGCUGUUCAGUGGCGCAGCUAACGCAUUAAGCAUUCCGCCUGGGGAGUACGGCCGCAAGGUUG